rnacentral:rRNA from 1 species
GAUCAGCCGUACUCCGAAUGACCUAGANUUUNAGUUUGAUCAUGGCUCAGAAUCACGCUGUUGGCGUGCCUCAGACAUGCAAGUCGAACGCGAAAGUUCCCUUCGGGGAGCAAGUAGAGUGGCGUCCGGGUGAGUAACACGUGGGUAAUCUACCUCUGGGUGGGGAAUAACAACCGGAAACGGUUGCUAAUACCGCAUAAUGCAGCGGCACCUUAUGGUGACAGUUGUUAAAGCGGGGGAUCGCAAGACCUCGCGCCUGAAGAGGAGCCUGCGGCGGAUUAGCUUGUUGGUAGGGUAACGGCUUACCAAGGCGACGAUCCGUAGCCGGCCUGAGAGGGCGGUCGGCCACACUGACACUGAAAUACGGGUCGGACUCCUACGGGAGGCAGCAGUCGGGAAUUGGGCAAUGGGCUGAAAAGCCUUGAACCCAGCAACGGCCGCCGUGAAAAGGGAUGAACAAUUCCCCUCGGGGAAUUGGUAAAAGCGUUUCGGCCAACGGAAACGGGGCACACGACAAUUAAGGCCUUGGUGUUUAACANCCACAAGGGCGAUUGAACGGGUUCACCANGGUCAGGAAAAGCCUUCCCGGGCUUAAACUACCGGAGGACCCAGGCAAGCCGACGGGUUAAAUACCGGCGGGGGGAAGCCAAAGCNGUUGAGUUUCCCCGGGGAAAUUUUACCCUGGAGGGGCCGUUCAAAAGNGGGGGCGCCCGUAAAGNCCCUGGUCCCAAAUCGGCCAAAGUUUCACAGGUUUGGUUGNNCAAAAUUUCUCACCCNAGGGGCGCUUUAAACAACUCCCGGGAAAACANGGNGUCCACACACCUUNGAUAAUCAUGGGGACAGGGUGUUUUAACAAAAGUUGCNCC